rnacentral:tRNA from 1 species
GCGCGAUUAGCUCAGUUGGUAGAGCAAUCGAUUUACACUCGAAAGGUCGUAGGUUCGAGUCCUACAUCGCGCA